AUAGUAUAUAUUAUAAACCUUUAUUUUUAUUUUAUAGGAACAAGGAACAAUCAAGUCAAGCAGAAACAACGGGUUCUUUAACACAUGACGAGAUUCGUACUGUAAGCAACACUGAAGAUGAUGACAGUCUAGAAACUGAUGAAGACGUUGAUGUACCAGAAUCCAGUAAUCUAUCAGAAGAACGGGAACCUGAAAUAACCCCAAGUGAACAGGAGAAUGCAGAUCUUGAGUCAAUUACCACGGAACAGGACAUUGAGAAUCCUGGCAGUGAACCUUUUCAUUCUCUUGAUGAAUCUACACAAGAAAAGUACCUGCAAGAGGAUGACAAAGUGUAUUCGUCUCAACAACAGAAUGGCCUGCUGCUCCUGGCAUUGAAAAUGAAGCACAAGCUUACCAAGGAAGCAGUCUCUGACAUGCUGGACAUUAUUAAUCUAUUGGCUGGUAAAGACACUGUACCACAAUCUUGGUACCACUUAGAAAAACCGUUUGAAGGUUUAAAAUAUUUUGUAGAAAUACAUCAUGUUUGCAAUUUCUGUGAAUCUUACUUAGGUAAAGAAACCUCUGAGAAAUGCACUUACUGUGAGAAAGAAUGGAUAGAGCAAAGGAGUCUGAAUGAAGGAAACUUUUUCUUUCAUUUGCCUUUACAUGCACAGAUCAAAGCAUUUUUAGAGGACCCUGAAUUGUCAAAAAAGGUAGUAAGAAAUAGACAUGGCUUCCAGUCACAGACAUUCUGUGACAUAACAUUGUUUAUGCCAACUAGUACACAGAUAGUGACCAGGCAUCCUGCAUUCCUUUUGCUAUGAAAAUGUUCUUUCAGAUCUUACACUGUAUAGAUAGGAACUCCCGUUCUCUCA